rnacentral:rRNA from 1 species
UGGGGAAUCUUCCGCAAUGGGCGAAAGCCUGACGGAGCAACGCCGCGUGAGUGAAGACGGCCUUCGGGUUGUAAAGCUCUGUUAUAUGGGACGAACGGGCGUAUGGUCAAUACCCAUACGCCGUGACGGUACCGUAAGAGAAAGCCACGGCUAACUACGUGCCAGCAGCCGCGGUAAUACGUAGGUGGCAAGCGUUGUCCGGAAUCAUUGGGCGUAAAGGGCGCGCAGGCGGUUCGGUAAGUCGGUCUUAAAAAGUGCGGGGCUUAACCCC